UAGGCCCCUCUCUACCCUUUCAACCAUAACAAGAGAUUGCCUCUCUUUUCUACCAACUUUCACAUCCCCAAACCCUUUUCCCCCACAUAACCUACCAGUGUGCACAACGCUGAGCCGGAUCGCCCCUACCAGCCCAUCAACAUCAGGUGGGUUCUUCACCUGGCAGGUGUAUGUCCCAUUGUCAUCAAACUGCAGUUUCCAGAGGAUAAUGGAGACAUCGUACCGCUCAGGGUUCCCAUCCCAGACCACCCGGUCCUUGAACCGCCCACUCAUGGGUUGGAAGGGAUCCACAUGGUAGUAGAAGACCUAGAGAGGAGAAAUGGCAAAAGUGUGUCAUUCAGUACCCAGGCAAGGAGACUGCGAUGAGGGGGCGGAAGAGAAACAGCAAGCCCAACUGUCCCAUCCACAACUCUCUCAUAGGAAUCUUGCUUCCCCUCCCCUGGUCUGUCCAGGUCUAUCAGUCUCUAUCCCAAGAAUGUUUCCCAGCUUACCCCUGUGCCUGUUGCUAAAAAAAUACAGGAAGAGUGAGGAAAAAUGCACUGGUUUAAUGUUUUCCUAACCAGGGGUCCCCUAGAAACUAAUGACAUAAUCUACUUACAAACUGUUCAGGCCCCCCAUCUCGAGGACGGAAAUUCCAAGUCACUGUUAGUGCAUUACCCACGGGAGCAAAGCUGGAGAAAGUGCAUUUUAACCGAACAUCUGUCCCAUUCACAGCCUCCACUGCCCCAGAGGUGUAAAUUUCCACAGCUUCUGUGAGCCAAAGAGCUGCAAUAAAAGGAAUAAGAAGGGUUAAAAGAAAAUGUGGCCUUGAGAGAACUAUGACACUUUCAAAAUAAAUGUCUGAGUAGGGAACAAGCAGAACCGUGAUGCCCAGCUUGCUUACUCACCCAGUCUGCACAGUCCGACCCACCUACAUGCAGCCCUGACACUCCCAUGCCCUGACAACUCAAAUACCACACAGUGAACCUUCCUACUGCUUCGACUUUCUCCACCGCCUCAUGGCACUGACUUCAGAAGUGCUAUAACAAACUACAAACACUAGCAAAUAAAAAGAAGUCAGAAGCACAGAAUUAAACUUCCUAGCAGGUAAGUUUUCCAGAAAGAGUCCUCAUUAGAUAGGUUUCCUACAGUUACUAGUCUUCUGCAGAAAUUGGAUUAAUCAGCUUCCACCAGCCUGUGUUUGCCUGCAUCCUGGGACCUUUAUACCAUGUGGCAUAUUUUACCAUAUUGACGUUUAGAAUGUGUGUGUUGGGGCAGUUUCAAAACCACAGUGGGUCUCUCUCUAGCAAUCUUUGUUUUCCUGGUGCUGCACAGAGUUCCAGGCAAGACCCACACACAGAAACCAAGUGCCAGGUCCUACCAGCAGCAGGAGACUGAGAACAGACACACAAAAAUGGUGUGUAACCUGAGAUUAGAAAGCCCUCUCUGUACUGGAUCACUGGCAGCAAACACACCGAAACCUGUUUGUCCAAAGCAAUCCCCCCCGAAACAACUACAGUUUCAGUAAAGUCCAAAUUAAACCACUGCAACUGUGUCUCAGGCUCCCACACAAAACUCUUGCAACUUUUCGACAAUUAACUAUCUCUAUCGUGUACGCAAUAAAAGAGGAAAUGCCAAGAGGAGCUCGCCAGGUCUUACCUGUGAGCUGUAAGCCAAGGAGAAGCGCCACACGCCCAGGACUCUUGCCAUACAUGAGGGAAACCCAGUCCUGGUCCCAGAGACCAGACCGGGCAGACUCGGGGCUCCAGCACCUGCCAAGAUCGGUCCAGGAAGAGUGGGAGCCGCGUUCUCCCGGAGAGGGGAGUCUCAGUCCCUCACCUAUGGGAAUCUGAGCUCCGAAGCAAGCCAGUCGUGACUCAUCCCGACCGGCCGGUGCACUGUGCUGGAAUGAAAGGUGGGGACUCCUCUCAACGCCCUCCUUCCCUUCCUCCGUCCCGCCCUCCACACUACCAGCACGUCUGCACAAAGGUUCCAAACUCUACAGUCCUCUCUUUACUUUUCAGUUCAUCUGACUGGGCUCUGGCCUCUGGAUGGCCUCGGAAACAGCCAGAGGAGGUGGUGCCAUUCCACAGCGUCCCAGGAUUUAAAGAAGAAUCAGGACAAUUACAAAGUGUUUUCCUGCUCCGCCUUUCAUCUCCACAACCCCCCACAAAGUAGUCCCAUUUUACCAAGGAGGACUCGGAGAGCCCAGGGAAGCACUGGAGAUUGAAUCCAGAGCCUCAUCAUGCUGUGCAAGCACUCUACCACUGAGCUAGAUUCCCAACCCUGCAGUUCAGUUUUUACAUGCAUCAAAAAAUAAGAUGGAACCAAAGUGGUGGCUCACACCUGUAAUCCCAGCAACUCCAGGAGGCCGAGGCAGAAGGAUCACAAGUCAGAGGCCAGCCUCAGCAACUUAGUGAGGCCCUAAGCAACUUAGUUCGAGUUGGGCUGGGG